rnacentral:rRNA from 1 species
UACGUAGGGUGCGAGCGUUGUCCGGAAUUAUUGGGCGUAAAGAGCUCGUAGGCGGUGUGUCACGUCAAUCGUGAAAACUUACAGCUUAACUGUGAGCGUGCGGUCGAUACGGGCAUCACUGGAGUUCGGCAGGGGAGACUGGAAUUCCUGGUGUAGCGGUGAAAUGCGCAGAUAUCAGGAGGAACACCGGUGGCGAAGGCGGGUCUCUGGGCCGAUACUGACGCUGAGGAGCGAAAGCGUGGGGAGCGAACAGG